rnacentral:lncRNA from 1 species
CCAAAAUUUGCUCAUUUAUUUUCUUUACAUUAAGAUCUCUGGUUCUUACCAGUGGGUCAUUUCAAACUCUAUCUCUGCUUCCCCCAGCUAGGGAUAGAAAGCCACUAUUACAGACAGGGGCUGCAUCCUUCAGGUGCUUUCUGCAGAAAUGAGCUCAAUAACCACUGAAGACAGAUGUUAAUGAUGUCUGUUUUAAGGCAAAUUAUUUGGAGACGAGGGUAACCAAGUGGAGCUGAAUGACACUGGAUGGUAAUAACUUAAUUUGCCUCAGUGACAGUUCAUCAGGUCCUUUCACUUCCAUUUUCUCAUCUGACCAUCAUGACCUUAUGGUUUUGGGUGUGCACCUGGCUUGCAGCAGAACUGGCUGGGAUGGCUUCAUAACUUCCCUUCUAACAAUAUAACAAUAUGCUUCUGUAAAUUUUCACACUGAAUUGGACAAGAAUCAGAAUAUCCUGUUUUGAACAUCUGCACAGAUUGACAAACAAAAAUGGAACAUCAAGACUGACUGGAAAUGGUGAUGUGAAAUUCAUUAAAUGCUCUUGCAAUUGCCAGAGGUGCCAAGACUGAGGCUCAGAGAAAUGAAAUAACAUGCCAAAGGUCACAGUGUCUAGUGGAGCUGGGGCCAAAUUCAGAUUAAUAACACACAGGAAAAACCCUCAACUUCUUUCAUUCGCCUGUUGAGAUAAAGGGAAAGAGAGUCCCCAUCCAGGCCUGCAGGAGAGGGAGAACUGGUGGAUGCAAAUGAAAAAGCAGAGGCAUUCCUCAGCUCUUUUAUCCCAGAGAUUAUAGUGCUGGAGUUGGAAGAAGAUGGGAGAAACAUAUGAGGAGAGAAGGAAGUCGAGCUCAUACCAUGAUGAAGAAGAUAACUCCUGAAGAUUGGGAAGGGCACUGGCUGGCUCUCAAAGAUGGACAAAUGGCUUUACGACGCUUAAGGGGAUGCUCUGUGGAGUCUGCUUGGGUGCAAAUCACCACCAUGACACACUACCCAUGGUACCGUUUUUCAGCCCCAGCCAUCACUUCAUCCUUUGCUCUGUAGCUUUCUUCAUUUGUUGGGAGAGAGGCUAUUCUUUUACUUGAACUUAGUGGGAGCUCAUUUUGCAAAGAUACAUGCUUCACCAUCCCCUGAAAGAUUUAUAUAGAAGGACACUGUGGCAACAUGUGACCUUUUGAAACUGCUCCCUUGGAAGGAAUUCUAAUGUCCUCCUGUCUAUGUUACCUGCUGUGUACCUACCACUGGGGAAAGAUGCUGAAAAUUUAAUGAAUUGCAGAAAAGCUGUGCAAGCUUCUCUUUUGGAAGAACCUUGGAGAAGAGAGAGGCUGACAGAAAGAAAACUUUCAAAGAAAUUACACUGCCCUCAAGGGUGGCAUCUACAGAGGACAGUGACAGGGCCUUGGAGACGUAUGAUUUCUUCUGCUGCUCAUUUACCUAGGUCUGUUUUCACUCUGGUGACUGGCCACAAUCAUGGGAAAAGUGAAGAAAUCUGAUAACUAUCAAGGUACAAAUUGCUAGAGAAAGAAAAUCGGGACUCUUACAACUAAGGGCUAAUUGAUGUGGAGAUGGAAGGUUUGUGGUGCUAUGUUUUGCAUGUGCCUCUGUGUGUGUUUGUGUGUGUAUAUAUAGGAGGGUAGGAGGUAGAAGAAUUCACAGUACAACCUAAUAAUCUGGGCCAUGGACCCAGCCAAAGAAGCGGGGACAGGGGUUGAAUGGAGAAGCACAUGGGACCAGAUGUACAAUGUAUCUGGAAAACAGACACAUAUACCGCAUCCAGGGAAUAACUGCAAACAGUCAAAUAACAUAUUUUGUAUUCAACCACUGACACAGAAAUUCAUGCACAAUGUAUUUUAUUUUUUAGUGGAAGAGAGAGAACUAUGCCACCCCUUUAAGGUAUGAUGCCAUUCUUAGAAAUAAAUAUUCGUAUAGAGAAAACUAUCUGAAAGGAUAGAUGUCAAAAUGUUUACAUAAGAGAUUAUUUCCGGAUGUAAGAAUUAGAGGGGAAUUUUAUAUUUUUUAUUUUUUGUGUAUGUACAGUUUCUAAUUUUCCUACAUUUAGUAUGUAAAAAGGAAAAAAAAGUAGCACAUUUUUAGAAAAGAAUUCUAAAUUUCUUUUAUAAAUAUCACUAAGGAAACAGAUUUGAUUUGGGCAAAGGGAAGAAGAGAUUAGAAUAGGGGUUGGCAAACUACGACCCUCUGAGCUAAAUCUGGCCUGCCACCUGUUUUUGUAAAUAAAGUUUCAUUGGAAUACAACCACUUCUUUCAUUUAUAUACUACAAACAUGGAGUUUAGCAGUUGUGACAAAGACCCUACGACCUACAAAGCCAAAUGGCUCUCCUAUCUGGUCCUUUACAAAAAAAGUUUGCCUAAACCCAGUUUAGAAGAAUCCUCCUAAUAUGGUCUUACCUAUUUUACCUUACUAGUUGUGUGAGCUUAGGGAAGUCAUAACUUUCACACCUCAGGUUCCUCAUGUGUAAUGAGAUGGAUAACACAUCUUAGACAUUUUAUGAAAAUUAAAUGAUUUAAUACAUAAAUGGUGCUAAACACUGUGUUUGGCAUAUAGUAGAUGCUCAAUAAAUAUUAUGCUCCUACUUAUUUUCUACUUCCUUUAAAUAAAAUGCAUUAUUCUGAUUUCAUGGCAAAUCUAAUGAAACUGCCAUUUUUGCUAGUCAAAAUUGUUCAAUAUUGGCAAUUUUAUAUGGCUCAAUGUAAUCAUACUUUAGCCAUUUACUAUUCUCAUUGCUCUUGUUUAAGUUGUAAUUGCUGAGCUUGUAUCUAUCAAUGUCACCAAGGUAGUUUUAGGGUUAGCUAAAUUGCCACAAACGGCUGGAAACCAAAAUCUAUUAAUAGCAUUGUUCUAUCCAAAUGUGGACACUUUGGGUGUAUGAAACAAAACACUGUAUUUGUAUUUCACUUUGUUACUUGUGUAACACAGGGAAAUCUGCAUUCAAUGCACCUAUGGUGUGACAGAUUAGGGCCUCUUUCCUGCUGCCCUAAAUAGAAGCUUUUUAGAUAAAGGAUAUUUGCUUCCACCCUACAAAACAGCACCUGACUUAAAUUUCAGCAGACUCAGUGAGCUUUCACAGCACUGCGACAAUCACUCUUGGCACUGAGCAAAGUUCUGACACAGUCUACCACAACAUCCUGGGAAGAACUGCUGAAGGGAACAUGGGGCUCAGGAUGCUACAAAAUUUGGAGACUGUCAUUCAAUCGCACUUGAAGAUGAUAUUCUGGGGCUUAGUGCAGAUCCAAAAUAGGAGUUCUUUAAAAAAGUAAAAUGGGGUUUCUCCAAGAACAAGACAGGAAGACCGACUGGAACAUCAAUGGAAUGUAAGUGUAAGAAGUUGCAGAUAGGGAAGUAUAGGAUGAGCUUCAUGAAAAGGAGGCAAAAUCAGGAAACUGAAAGACUAAUCAAAGUAUUCUUAUCAACAGAAAUGAAGAAAGGCUUUUAGUUCAGUGCUAAGACUAUCAAAGGAAGAACAAACCCAAUUUAAUCCAAUCAACACUUAUUAAAUGCCUACUUUAUGCCAGGCACUGGGUUAACACAGCUAGAGAUAGUAAGAUAAAUCAGACACAAUUUCUACCUUAGAGAAGUUUCUGGGCUGGUGGGAGGGAGAUAAACAUGGAACCAAAUAACUUUAAUAUCGUGAUAAAUGUUAUAAUACUAACAAUAAUAGCUGUCAUUUAUUAAUUGUGUAAAAUGUAAAGCAAACACAGAAUGGAAAAAUUAGUUUUGCUUGGAGAGGUCCAGAGAGGGUAGGGAGGAGGGGAAUAAUUACAGUCAGCACCUGAAAAUGACCAAAAGUUCACGAAGCUAAUACUGAGGCAAGAAUGAGAGUGAUGUGCUGUGGUUUCAGGACAGGAUGGAUUGUUGUAAUGGUUAAAAUGAAGCUGACGAAAAACCUCAUAAGCCAAACUUAGGAAUUGUGACGUUAUUCAGUAGGCAUUAAUUCUCAAUAAGCAGGAAGCAGUUUGGUUCAGUCCGGUUUAAAAAAGACAAGAGAAUACUUUCCUAGAGAGCCAUGAGGCAGGAUCAUAGGAAGAAGAGAGACUAAAUGGUUCUGUCUGUGAAAAUUUAGACCAGAAAAGUGGCAGUAAGAAGAGAGAAGAGGAGAUGGAUACAGGAUGCAGCAUGUCUUCAAACUGAAAUGCAAAAGUGGAGGGAGACAUUCUGAAGACCCAGAGGAGAAACAGAUGAAAAGAACUGUGGUGUGGGAGGAGCAAGGGACGGUAGGCAAGGAGAAGACCACAGUUAGGUCACUGGCCUUGGGAAAGGGAACAUCUUUUUUUCCUCGACCAGCCUGGGCAACACGGUGAAAACCUGCCUCUACAAAUAAAAAUACAAAAAAAUUUGGCCAAGUGUGGUAGUGUGCGCCUGUAGUCCCAGGUACUCGGGAGGCUGUGUGUGGAGGCUCUGGGGCUUGUGCCCAGGGUAUCGAGGCUGCAGUGAGCCGUGAUGUCACAUGUCACGUCUCAUUAAAGGGUAUUGAAUGAUACCCAAGAGAGGAAAAAUCUGAUUUCCUUAGCCUGGCCCUCAAAGCAUUCUGUAAUGUAGCUCACAACCUAUUCUUCUGAUCCAUUUUCACCUCCUUUAUUCUUCCCUCCUGAGGGUAUAGAUACCCAAAUGUCUUCGGGACUCAGGCGGGUAACACACAAGGGGGUGAAGUGGCAGGGUCUGAGGCCCUGAAGUGGUGAGUCCAUGGCUCACAGGACGUUAUAUUUUCUUUUUAAAUUCACUGAGAGGCAAACAACAUAUAUACACACAGAGAUUUUAGAAGUUUAACGUUUAUCUUGAGAGGCUUUACCUUCUAAAAUUCUACACAGCAUCAAUCCAGCCUUCUCUAAGCAGACUUCCCAGUCAACCAGGCUUAUAGACAAGAGUUC